ACCUUUCCAUGGAAACGCCGUUCUAUAGCAUAUCCGUUCUGUCUCCCCCUCUCCUCUAAUACUACAUUUAUAAUAUGAAAAUGUGAUUUAGUUUAUUUUCAGUUAAUUAUUUAACGAAAUGAUUAACUUGUGUAUUCGUAUAAUACGACAUACUCACAAAAUCUCACCUGUAGUAGGUCAGUCAUCCUACUAGGAGUCUACUACAACAUAAAACAAAGGCAACCUGAGUAAACACACAAUACAGUUUUUAUUGAAGCAAAAUAAUAAAAAGGUUAUUCAAAACCUAUCACCAAUGUGAAAAACAAUUUGCCCCCUUCAACUUAAAAUCUGGUUGUACCACCUUUAGCAGCAAUUACUGCAACCAAACACUUUCGAUAACUGGAGCUCGGGUCUUUAACAGCGCUGUGGUGGAAUAAAUGUGUUAAUAUUUUCAAGGUUAUUUUAACCCUUUAAAAAUGUCAAUUCUACCACAUUAUACACAAAUAUCUCAACAUGGUAUCUCCUUUAUUUAUACACAAGAAGGUGUUCAGAAAUGUAUUGCUAGAGCUGCUAACGUGCUGUUUAUACCCAGAUAGCAAGCACAUUUGGGCCGAUUCCGGUAGAAAUGCGCCAUUGUCGGCUCUAUGGCGGUAUCGGUGAAAAGGUGUGAAAAGGUGACUUCGGGCCGGCAGACGGGUUUUGCUAUGUGGGCCAAUCUCGGCUGAAAGCUGGUGUACGUGCGGCAGGUCCAUACUCGGCGUAGCGGUGUUCGUUAAGUCACAGUCGGCCCAUAGCUGGAAUUAAGGAGCUCAGCCGCCUGGAAAAAGAGAAAAAAAAAAGUUUUGGCGGUUAAAUCAGUUCGGAUCCUCGAGGCUGCAGUCGUUCUUCGUUUUCAAGAGGAAUCAUUUCACGUGAAGAAGACAGCUAUAAAGAGGGCAGGAGGAAAGCCAGAGAGGGCAGGACCUGGUCAGACCUCCAGUCAGACGCGGAACUUCUUUAUCAUAGCCAUGCUGAGGGAGGUGCUGACUAAAUUAGAGAUGGUUAACAAAUUAAAAAAUUAACAAACCACUGAGAUUACUUCAACUACAGGAGGUCCAGGUGCAGCCUUUGUAUAUUGAGGAAGGUUUACUGCCCCUGCAAGACCUUCCUCAACGGUGUAGUCUGGAGCAAAGGAUGCAACAGAGUCCAGAUUACAAGCAAAAACUGGACACACUCGUACUCAAAGCACAACAUUCAACACCACUUUGAUAUGAGGGAACAGUUAUGACCUAAUCUUUGGUAAACUGGUUGCGCUUAUUGACAGGGCGGAUGUGCACGACUGCACCUGGCGCAUAUUGAAGAGGGUGAUUGCCAAUUCCCUGGCAAAGAACCGCAAUUGGAGGGGAGUCAAUGGAAAGACUUCACUGGCAACUCUCCAACUCGGAGAGGUCGUGAUUGCUGCAGUUCAAAGAAACUUCUUCACGGCUAAUGCUGCUCAGAUGGAGGUUGAGGGGACCAUGAAGAGGUGGCUCCAGCUGGCAUCAGAUCGAGAGUGUGGGCGCAAGAGAAGACUUUUGCAAAAGGAAGGUAUUUAGAGUGUUCUGUGCUUCUUUUUUUUGCGCUAUUUGUUAAUUUGUUAAAAUGUUCAUAUUAUAGUCUAUUUUUAAUUGUUUAUAAAAGUCCUUGUUGUUUUUAUGUGGUUGAAUUUGUGUGUGUGUGUGUGUGUGUGUGUGUGUUGGUAGCUGGGUGGGUAUACAGUUGUGGUCAGAAGUUUACAUACCCCUUGCAGAAUCUGCAAAAUCUUAAUACUCUUAACAAAAUAAGAUUGAUCAUAAAAAUUCCAUGUUGUUUUUUAUUUAGUACUGUCCUGAAUAAACUAUUUCACAUAACAGGUGUUUACAUAUAGUCCACAAGACAAUAGCUGAAUUUAUAAAAACCACCCCGUUCAAAAGUUUACAUACCCUUGAUUCUUAAUACUGUGCAUCGUUUCCGGGAUGAUCCACGACUGCUUUUAUGUUUUGUGAUAGUUGUUCAUGAGUCUCUUGUUUGUUCUGAGCAGUUAAACUGCCCACUGUUCAGGUCCUGCACAUUCUUUGCUUUUCUAGCACCUUCUAGCAUAUUUGACCCCUUUCCAACAGCAGCUAUAUGAUGUUGAGAUCCGUCUGAGGACACUGAGGGACUCGUACAUGACUAUUACAUCAGGUGCAAACAUUCACUGAUGCUCGAGAAUGCAACACAAUACAUUAAGAGCCAGGGGGUGUAAAAUUUUGAACAGGAUGAUCGGUGUAAAUUGUUAUUUUCUCUUCUGGGAGACAUGUAAGUAUCUUAUUUAGCUUCUGAAGGGCAGUACUAAAUGGAAAAAAUAAGAUCUUUAAACAAAAUAACAAUUUACACAUAUCCUGUUAAAAAAUUUACACCCCCCGGCUCUUAAUGUAUUGUGUUGCAUUUAUUUGUAAUGUAAGUGGUUGAAUUUAUUUGUGUGCAUGUGUUCGUAGCUGUAUGUGUGUGAGAGAGAAUUGUUUUUGUCUUUAAAUAUACUGUAAAUAUAUUUAGUUGUUAUUUUGUAGUUUUUAAAAGUGUGUUGUUAAUACAUGUUCAUAUUAUAGUGUAUUUGUUAAUGUUUAAUAAAAGCCCUUAAUCUUAUUAAAUGGUUGAAUUUGUGUUUCCCUACUAAAAUUAAGUACAUUUAGCAGUUUAUGGGCAACAUCUGGCCCGGGGACCAAGCCGACUCUCAGCCAGAUCUGUCUUACAGUGUCUGGGCCAGACCCGGGCCACAUAAAACAAUAUAAGUCACUUUACAAUGUCUGGGUCGGAGGAAAUUGUAUGUGUUCAUUUUCAGUGUGUGGGCCAGUUUUGGGCCAGGGACACAGGCGCACUGGGCCAGAACUAAAGCAAGUAUGUGGCCCACAAGUGGGCCAGACAAAUUUUGCUAUCUGGGAGACUAUCAUACACAUCUUUGUACUGGUCUAUCUGAGGCAAACACAAUUCACCAAUUUCAACAGCAUACUAGAAAUAUCAACAACAACAACAAAAUAGCCUUGUACAGUAAAUGUACAGUUUUAAAGGUUUGAUAGUUGUGGGAGGUUUACUGGUAGGAUACAAAUGAGACACCAUAAAAAAAGCAUGUAUUUUUAACCUCAUAAAAUCUAUAAAGGUAACUGAAGUAUUUGUCGUAAUACAUAAUUUCUUAUAAAAAUGCUGACAUUUGUCUGUGGUUUCCA